rnacentral:lncRNA from 1 species
UUCCAAAAAGAUGUAAACUGAAUUAAAAAGAAAUUAAUGUCUUAGCUUACCGGUACCUACUAGAUUAUUUUUACUAUUCUAAAUACUAAAUCUCAGUAUUAUAGUGUUGAAUGAGAGAAUUUGGGAUUUCUGAAAAUUGUUCAAGUUGAUGAAGAACCCUACUCCAGCGUGGGCUAUAGUACAAUAGGUCUAUAGCAAUAUAGAUACCAAUUAUGCAUCCAAACGCUCACAAUGGCAAUAAGUAAAAGUGAUAGAUAGCAAUGUUGAUGAUACUGAUGCAAAUAUUGUAGAUAACAAGUUGACGAUGACCUGCUACAUUUAAAACUGGAGGAAAAAAUCAGAGACGCCGAGGAAAUUUCUAGGCAACUUGAUAUCCGUAAAAACUCGACUGAUAUAUUAGUUGGAAAAUUCUUAAAGCACGAGAUUGUUGAAUCGGAGAUGAUACAAGCUAAACCUGCAGAAGGGAUCAGAAAAAGAAAUGUCACUGAGGACAGCCAAUCAAAGUGGAUAUUAAUGGAAUGUGACGGAAUUGGUGUUUUCUUCAUCAUCUACUACCGUCUAUGGACAUUCUGAAUAUGGUACCUAGGCUACCUAUCUGUGAAAAACACCCACCUGGACAAAAAUCCUUAUGGUGUCGAAAACAACAAAUUUGAUCCGUCGGCGCCGGAACCAGAAACGGAACCUUCCAAAGAGGAGGAGAAUCCCACUUCCAAGACUGAUAAAGACAUCGCUUUUUGUUAUUCAUAUUGUCAAUCAACAGCUGGUGGCUGACUCUACUUCGAACGGUUUUCAAGCUUUAAAACCGCAAUGAGUUUCAAAAUAGAUUUAAAAAGUGAAUAUAGGCUAUUGAUAUAAACACUUCAAUUAUAUUGGCUACUUUUCUACAAAUUAAUGAAAACAAUAUAAAAACUUUAAAGUAUUUUAACGACUAGUUUCGACCAUAGGUCAUAGGUCAAGUUCAUUUUUAAACUUGAGAAUGAUAUGGUCGAUACUAGCCGUUGAAAUAUUUUAAAGAUAUUCUAACUAAAGUUAUUAACUAAAUAAUUCAGGCUAUUCAUACUAUUUCACUUCAAAUUGUAACAAUUAAUGAGUUUCAAGAAUGUUCGUUCCUCUUUUGCUUCAAGAUCUAACACUGGAGGUUUUCAAAAGAUCUGAAAUAAUUUAUUAAUAUUUAUUUUGAUCAUAUAUUUUAAGUGUAUCUCAGAUAUCUUCAAAAUAGCAAAACUCCCUUCUUAAUGGGAAUACUCAGUAUUUUCAUAUUUAUAUUAUGUACAAAGUCUUGUUUAAUGAUCUAGUUUUAUAAAACUAGAUAUAAAUUAUUUAUUGUUUAUUCAUAGUUUUUGGGUGAAUUCUAGUGAUCCAUGUCAAUAUAACUUUGAUGGAUCCCGAAUGUUUCCUUGUGUAUGUAGAAUCACCUUUCUUUGUGAGAAUUACCUUUCAACCCCAACUAACGCUCAAUGUUGUAAAGCUGUAGUUUUGAUAAUCCUUAUCAUUCUACUGAAAUUUUCUUAUAGAAAAUAAUAAAAGUUCUAUUCAACUUGGUAUUCAUCAUUCAACAAAUCAUUAUUUUUUGUAGUUGAUUAAUCAGUAAUCAAUUUUAAUCAGUAUUUGGAGUUGAACAUUUUACAAAUUAAUGGCAAUUUGUAUUUUUAUGUAUGAAAUAUUUAUUUAGAAACUAAAAUUUCAUAAUACAAUGGAAUACCUAGGAAUAAUAAUCUUAUUUGUUAUUUCAUGUUCAUCAUAUUUAUUUGAAAGUAUAAUGAGUGUAAACGGUUUCUUCCCAAUGCAUUUAUAUAGAAAUCAUAGCAAGCGUAAUCCAACUGUUUUCCAACUGUAGAUUCUGUGUUACCAAUUCUAGACAUGUUAAUGAAUAGUACUAGGAUUUAAUGUAAUAAAUAUUUCUAUUCACACGUGUUUCAAAUUGUGAGACGGGAUGUUUCUGUUGAAAAGUAAAACUAUUUUCUACUGCUGAAAAACAAUUGAAAUGCUAAUAUUCCAAUUUGAAAUGAAAAAACAUAUAGGUAACAGAUUUUUUCAUAAUUCUUGUAAGAAAAUAAUUUCAGAUUUCAUUGUAAGUAUGUUAUGGCACUCUUUGUUAUAAAAAAUUGAUUUCAAAUGCCAAUAAAAGUACCAUA